rnacentral:rRNA from 1 species
UACGUAGGGUGCGAGCGUUAAUCGGAAUUACUGGGCGUAAAGCGUGCGUAGGUGGUUCGUUGUGUCUGUGGUGAAAGCCCCGGGCUUAACCUGGGAAUGGCCAUGGAAACUGGCGAGCUGGAGUCUGGCAGAGGGGGGUGGAAUUCCGCGUGUAGCAGUGAAAUGCGUAGAGAUGCGGAGGAACACCGAUGGCGAAGGCAGCCCCGUGGGCUAAGACUGACGCUGAGGCACGAAAGCGUGGGGAGCAAACAGG